UGGGGAAUUUUGGACAAUGGACGCAAGUCUGAUCCAGCCAUGCCGCGUGCGGGAAGAAGGCCUUCGGGUCGUAAACCGCUUUUGUCAGGGAAGAAACGAGUUUCUCUAAUACAGAGACUUAAUGACGGUACCUGAAGAAUAAGCACCGGCUAACUACGUGCCAGCAGCCGCGGUAAUACGUAGGGUGCAAGCGUUAAUCGGAAUUACUGGGCGUAAAGCGUGCGCAGGCGGUUAUAUAAGACAGAUGUGAAAUCCCCGGGCUCAACCUGGGAACUGCCUUUGUGACUGCAUAGCUAGAGUACGGUAGAGGGGGAUGGAAUUCCGCGUGUAGCAGCGAAAUGCGUAGAUAUGCGGAGGAACACCGAUGGCGAAGGCAAUCCCCUGGACCUGUACUGACGCUCAUGCACGAAAGCGUGGGGAGCAAACA
rnacentral:rRNA from 1 species